rnacentral:rRNA from 1 species
CCUACGGGAGGCAGCAGUGAGGAAUAUUGGUCAAUGGCCGGAAGGCUGAACCAGCCAAGCCGCGUGAAGGACGAAGGUGCCAAGCAUUGUAAACUUCUUUUGUCAAGGGACAAAAUCAGGCUCGAGAGCCUGACCGAGGGUACUUGAAGAAAAAGCAUCGGCUAACUCCGUGCCAGCAGCCGCGGUAAUACGGAGGAUGCGAGCGUUAUCCGGAUUCAUUGGGCGUAAAGCGCGCGUAGGCGGCCGCCUAAGCGGAACCUCUAACCCCGGGGCUCAACCUCGGGCCGGGUUCCGGACUGGGCGGCUCGAGUGCGGUAGAGGAGAGCGGAAUUCCCGGUGUAGCGGUGGAAUGCGCAGAUAUCGGGAAGAACACCGAUGGCGAAGGCAGCUCUCUGGGCCGUCACUGACGCUGAGGCGCGAAAGCUGGGGGAGCGAACAGGAUUAGAUACCCGGGUAGUC